CUAUUGUCUACAUUGUCACUGCAACUGAUUGUGAAGUAGUAGACUCAGUCAAUUUUUUAUGAUAAGUAGUAAAAAGUAUUAAAGACACAUCCACAGAUUUGGUUUUUUAAAGCAAUAUAUAAAGGAAGACAAUGUUUAAUAUUUCAGGUUUCGGAGGAUAUAGAAGACGAAGAAAUACGGCUAAACCACCUUGCCUGAAACCUAGAAGUGUUCCCACUGUAAGAUACUUCAUAACCAUAAACUCCAUGAAGUCAGAGACAACAUCUGCUUUGUCAAUGAAUGUCCAGGACCUAGCACAUAACCAGGUAAAGAUACAUUCAGUAAACAUAUGCUGGCUGAUGAACUGCUCAAAUUGUAAAAAUGCUGACUCCGGAAAAAACAUCAUAAAAAUCAAACAAUGCAAUGCUGUGACAGCAUUUGAGAAAACAUAUAUGGUCUAAUUUUAUGACAUGCAGAUGAGGUAUUAAAAGUAAUAAAUUGUUUAUGAUAACAUUAAGUCCCA
rnacentral:lncRNA from 13 species